GACGAACGCUGGCGGCGUGCCUAAUACAUGCAAGUAGGACGCAGUUGCGAACGGGUGAGUAACGCGUAGGUAACUACCUGUUAGAGGGGGAUAACUAUUGGAAACGAUAGCUAAUACCGCCUACUAGUAGAUGGACCUGCGUUGUAUUAUCUAGUAGGUAGGGUAAUGGCCUACCUAGGCAACGAUACAUAGCCGAGCUGAGAGGUGGACGGGCCCAAUGGGAAUGGGAACAGGCCCAAGCUCCUAAGGGAGGCAGCAGUAGGGAAGCUUCGGCAAUGGGGGGAACCCUGACCGAGCAACGCCGCGGUAUUGAAGAAGGUUUUCGGAGCGUAAAGCUCUGUUGUGAAGGAAGCGGUACUUAACCAGAAAGGGACGGCUAACUGCGUGCCAGCCGCCGCGGUAAUUC
rnacentral:rRNA from 1 species